GAAGUAAAAGUCGUAACAAGGUUUCGUAGGUGAACCUGCGGAAGGAUCAUUA
rnacentral:rRNA from 2 species